UGCCCGCAGCACCGCUUCUCGCU
rnacentral:miRNA from 1 species